rnacentral:snRNA from 13 species
UUGAUUAGAUGCAUUAGUUACCAGAGUGAUCACGGACACCCUUGCCCCAGGUGGAGGCUCGCCCUUGCACUCUGGCGGGUUGAAGCCUGCGACAAUUCCUAAUCGGGUGUGUUGCUUUUGCCAGUGGGGAGGUCUUCGGACCAUCCCUU